rnacentral:rRNA from 1 species
CAGGCCUAACACAUGCAAGUCGAACGGUAACAGCACUUCGGUGGCUGACGAGUGGCGCACGGGUGCGUAACGCGUAUACAAUCUACCUUUUACAGGGGGAUAGCCCAGAGAAAUUUGGAUUAAUACCCCAUGGCAUAUAUUUAUGGCAUCAUAUUUAUAUUAAAGAUUCAUCGGUAAGAGAUGAGUAUGCGUUCUAUUAGCUAGUUGGUGCGGUAACGGCGCACCAAGGCUACGAUAGAUAGGGGCCCUGAGAGGGGGAUCCCCCACACUGGUACUGAGACACGGACCAGACUCCUACGGGAGGCAGCAGUGAGGAAUAUUGGACAAUGGGCGAGAGCCUGAUCCAGCCAUGCCGCGUGCAGGAAGACUGCCCUAUGGGUUGUAAACUGCUUUUAUACGGGAAGAAACACCCCCUCGUGAGGGGGCUUGACGGUACCGUAAGAAUAAGGAUCGGCUAACUCCGUGCCAGCAGCCGCGGUAAUACGGAGGAUCCAAGCGUUAUCCGGAAUCAUUGGGUUUAAAGGGUCCGUAGGUGGAUAAUUAAGUCAGAGGUGAAAUCCUGCAGCUCAACUGUAGAAUUGCCUUUGAUACUGGUUAUCUUGAGUUAUUGUGAAGUGGUUAGAAUAUGUAGUGUAGCGGUGAAAUGCAUAGAUAUUACAUAGAAUACCGAUUGCGAAGGCAGAUCACUAACAAUCAAUUGACACUGAUGGACGAAAGCGUGGGUAGCGAACGGGAUUAGAUACCCUGGUAGUCCACGCCGUAAACGAACGAUGGUUACUAGCUGUUCGGACUUCGGUCUGAGUGGCUAAGCGAAAGUGAUAAGUAACCCACCUGGGGAGUACGUUCGCAAGAAUGAAACUCAAAGGAAUUGACGGGGGCCCGCACAAGCGGUGGAGCAUGUGGUUUAAUUCGAUGAUACGCGAGGAACCUUACCAGGGCUUAAAUGUAAGUUGCAUAAGCUAGAGAUAGCUUUUUCUUCGGACCACUUACAAGGUGCUGCAUGGUUGUCGUCAGCUCGUGCCGUGAGGUGUCAGGUUAAGUCCUAUAACGAGCGCAACCCCUGUUGUUAGUUGCCAGCGAGUGAAGUCGGGAACUCUAACAAGACUGCCGGUGCAAACCGUGAGGAAGGUGGGGAUGACGUCAAAUCAUCACGGCCCUUACGUCCUGGGCUACACACGUGCUACAAUGGCCGGUACAGAGAGCAGCCACACCGUAAGGUGGAGCGAAUCUACAAAACCGGUCUCAGUUCGGAUCGGGGUCUGCAACUCGACCCCGUGAAGCUGGAAUCGCUAGUAAUCGGAUAUCAGCCAUGAUCCGGUGAAUACGUUCCCGGGCCUUGUACACACCGCCC